ACGCUCGACACCUACGAGAGGCAGCAGUGGGGAAUAUUGCACAAUGGGGGAAACCCUGAUGCAGCGACGCCGCGUGAGUGAAGAAGUAUUUCGGUAUGUAAAGCUCUAUCAGCAGGGAAGAAGAUGACGGUACCUGAGUAAGAAGCCCCGGCUAACUACGUGCCAGCAGCCGCGGUAAUCUGAGGCGGGCUGGCAAGGC
rnacentral:rRNA from 1 species